rnacentral:rRNA from 1 species
CCUACGGGAGGCAGCAGUGGGGAAUAUUGGACAAUGGGGGAAAUCCUGAUGCAGCGACGCCGCGUGAGUGAAGAAGUACUUCGUUAUGUAAAGCCCUAUCAGCAGGGAAGAAAAUGACGGUACCUGAGUAAGAAGCCGCGGAUAACCACGUGCCAGCAGCCGCGGCAACACGUAGGGGGCCAGCGUUAUCCGGAUUUACUGGGUGUAAAGGGAGCGUAGACGGCAGUGAAAGUCCGGAGUGAAAGUCGGGGGCUCAACCCCCGGACUGCGCUGGAAACUGUACGGCUGGAGUGCAGGAGAGGUAAGUGGAAUUCCUAGUGUAGCGGUGAAAUGCGUAGAUAUUAGGCGGAACACCAGUGGCGAAGGCGGCUUACUGGACUGUAACUGACGUUGAGGCUCGAAAGCGUGGGGAGCAAACAGGAUUAGAUACCCUUGUAGUC